AUGGAGUGCGAGAACGCACACGUUGCCGCCAACGGCGAUGGCUUGUGCAUGGCGCAGCCGGCGCGGGCCGACCCGCUCAACUGGGGGAAGGCGGCGGAGGAGCUCUCGUGUAGCCAUUUGGAUGCGGUGAAGCGGAUGGUGGAAGAGUACCGACGGCCCGGCACACCCAUCGGUGUGUCCAUGGACAACACCAGGCUUGGCAUUGCUGCGAUUGGCAAGCUCAUGUUUGCCCAAUUCUCAGAGCUGGUGAACGACUUCUACAACAACGGUCUGCCUUCAAACCUCUCCGGUGGGCGCAACCCAAGCUUGGACUAUGGCUUCAAGGGUGCCGAGAUUGCCAUGGCCUCGUACUGCUCCGAGCUCCAGUUCUUGGGCAACCCUGUGACCAAUCAUGUUCAGAGCGCGGAGCAACACAACCAAGAUGUCAACUCUCUUGGUCUCAUCUCCUCAAGGAAGACCGCCGAGGCCAUUGACAUACUCAAGCUCAUGUCCUCGACGUUCUUGGUCGCGUUGUGCCAGGCCAUCGACCUUCGCCACCUUGAGGAGAAUGUCAAGAAUGCUGUCAAGAGCUGUGUGAAGACUGUGGCUAGGAAGACACUGAGCACCGAUACCAAUGGCCAUCUCCAUAACGCGCGCUUCUGCGAGAAGGACCUUCUGCUCACAAUCGACCGUGAAGCCGUGUUUGCAUACGCAGACGAUCCUUAUAGCGCCAACUACCCACUCAUGCAGAAGAUGCGUGCAGUUCUUGUGGAGAAUGCCUUGGCAAAUGGUGAGGCCGAGCGCGACGUGGAGACGUCGGUGUUUGCCAAGCUUGCCACGUUCGAGCGGGAGCUUCGGGCAGUGCUGCCAAAGGAGGUUGAGGCUGCCAGGAGCGCCGUGGAGAAUGGCACUGCCACACAACAAAACCGUAUUGCCGAAUGCCGGUCGUACCCCCUCUACCGAUUCGUGCGCAAGGAGCUUGGAACGGAGUACUUGACCGGAGAGAAGACGCGGUCUCCUGGCGAAGAGGUGGACAAGGUGUUCGUUGCCAUGAACCAGGGCAAGCACAUCGAUGCGCUCCUUGAGUGCCUCAAGGAGUGGAACGGCGAGCCCCUGCCUCUCUGCUAA
rnacentral:rRNA from 1 species